rnacentral:rRNA from 1 species
GAUGAACGCUGGCGGCGUGCCUAAUACAUGCAAGUCGAGCGAACAGACGAGGAGCUUGCUCCUCUGACGUUAGCGGCGGACGGGUGAGUAACACGUGGAUAACCUACCUAUAAGACUGGGAUAACUUCGGGAAACCGGAGCUAAUACCGGAUAAUAUAUUGCACCGCAUGGUUCAAUAGUGAAAGACGGUUUUGCUGUCACUUAUAGAUGGAUCCGCGCCGCAUUAGCUAGUUGGUAAGGUAACGGCUUACCAAGGCAACGAUGCGUAGCCGACCUGAGAGGGUGAUCGGCCACACGGGAACUUAGACACGGUCCAGACUACUACGGGAGGCAGCAGUAGGGAAUCGUCCGCAAUGGGCGAAAGCCUGGCGGAGCAACGCCGCGUGAGUGAUGAAGGUCUUCGGAUCGUAAAACUCUGUUAUUAGUGAAGAACAAAUGUGUAAGUAACUAUGCACGUCUUGACGGUACCUAAUCAGAAAGCCACGGCUAACUACGUG